rnacentral:rRNA from 1 species
UACGGAGGGUGCAAGCGUUAUCCGGAUUCACUGGGUUUAAAGGGUGCGUAGGUGGGCAAGUAAGUCAGUGGUGAAAUCUCCGGGCUUAACCCGGAAACUGCCAUUGAUACUAUUUGUCUUGAAUACUGUGGAGGUCAGCGGAAUAUGUCAUGUAGCGGUGAAAUGCUUAGAUAUCAGGAAGAAUAUCCGUGGCGAAGGCGGCUCUCUGGUACGGCACUGACGCUGAGACGCGAAAGCGUGGGGAGCAAACAGGG